GCCUGGUGGCUCAGUCAGUUAAGCAUCUGACUUCAGCUCAGGUCAUGAUCUCACAGUUCGUGGGUUCGAGCCCCACAUUGGGCU
rnacentral:tRNA from 1 species